rnacentral:rRNA from 1 species
UGCGCAGGCGGCUUACUAAGUCAGUGGUGAAAUCUUGCGGCUUAACCGUAAAACUGCCAUUGAUACUGGUAGGCUUGAAUUCAGUUGAGGUUGGCGGAAUGUGUAAUGUAGCGGUGAAAUGCUUAGAUAUUACGCAGAACACCGAUUGCGAAGGCAGCUAGCUAAACUGAUAUUGACGCUGAGGCACGAAAGCGUGGGGAGCGAACAGGAUUAGAUACCCUGGUAGUCC